UUCGGGGUACUCGAGCGGCGAACGGGUGAGUAACACGUGAGCAACCUGCCCCAGGCUUUGGGAUAACCCCGGGAAACCGGGGCUAAUACCGAAUAUGACCUCUGACCGCAUGGUUGGUGGUGGAAAGUUUUUCGGCUUGGGAUGGGCUCGCGGCCUAUCAGCUUGUUGGUGGGGUGAUGGCCUACCAAGGCGACGACGGGUAGCCGGCCUGAGAGGGCGACCGGCCACACUGGGACUGAGACACGGCCCAGACUCCUACGGGAGGCAGCAGUGGGGAAUAUUGCACAAUGGGCGGAAGCCUGAUGCAGCGACGCCGCGUGAGGGAUGACGGCCUUCGGGUUGUAAACCUCUUUCAGCAGGGACGAAGCGUAAGUGACGGUACCUGCAGAAGAAGCGCCGGCCAACUACGUGCCACCACCCCCGGUAAGACCUAAGGGCGCGAGCGUUGUCCGGAUUUAUUGGGCGUAAAGAGCUCGUAGCGGCUUGUCGCGUCGACCGUGAAAACUUGGGGCUCAACCCCAAGCCUGCGGUCGAUACGGGCAGGCUAGAGUUCGGUAGGGGAGACUGGAAUUCCUGGUGUAGCGGUGAAAUGCGC
rnacentral:rRNA from 1 species